rnacentral:misc_RNA from 1 species
GAAAUGCGAUAAGUAAUGUGAAUUGCAGAAUUCAGUGAAUCAUCGAAUCUUUGAACGCACCUUGCGCUCCUUGGUAUUCCUUGGAGCAUGCCUGUUUGAGUAUCAUGAAAUCUUCAAAGUAAAUCUUUUGUUAACUCAAUUGGUUUCUACUUUGGUAUUGGAGGUCUUUGCAGCUUCACACCUGCUCCUCUUUGUUCAUUAGCUGGAUCUCAGUGUUAUGCUUGGUUCCACUCGGCGUGAUAAGUUAUCUAUCGCUGAGGACACUGUAAAAGGUGGCCAAGGUAAAUGCAGAUGAACCGCUUCUAAUAGUCCAUUGACUUGGACAAUACUUUUAUGAUCUGAUCUCGAAUCAGGUAGGACUACCCGCUGAACUUAAGC